rnacentral:rRNA from 1 species
GACGAACGCUGGCGGCGUGCUUAACACAUGCAAGUCGAACGGAAAGGCCCUGCUUUUGUGGGGUGCUCGAGUGGCGAACGGGUGAGUAACACGUGAGUAACCUGCCCUUGACUUUGGGAUAACUUCAGGAAACUGGGGCUAAUACCGGAUAGGAGCUCCUGCUUCAUGGUGGGGGUUGGAAAGUUUCGGCGGUUGGGGAUGGACUCGCGGCUUAUCAGCUUGUUGGUGGGGUAGUGGCUUACCAAGGCUUUGACGGGUAGCCGGCCUGAGAGGGUGACCGGCCACAUUGGGACUGAGAUACGGCCCAGACUACUACGGGAGGCAGCAGUGGGGAAUAUUGCACGAUGGGCGGAAGCCUGAUGCAGCAACGCCGCGUGCGGGAUGACGGCCUUCGGGUUGUAAACCGCUUUCGCCUGUGACGAAGCGUGAGUGACGGUAAUGGGUAAAGAAGCACGGGCUAAGUACGUG